rnacentral:ncRNA from 1 species
ACUGAAACCAUGAGUCUGGUAAUUGGAAUGAGUAUAAUCUAAAUCUCGAUCCAUUGGAGGGCAAGUUUGGUGCCAACAGCGGCGGUAAUUCCAGCUCUAA